rnacentral:rRNA from 1 species
GACGAACGCUGGCGGCGUGCUUAACACAUGCAAGUCGAACGGAAAGGCCCUGCUUUUGUGGGGUGCUCGAGUGGCGAACGGGUGAGUAACACGUGAGUAACCUGCCCUUGACUUUGGGAUAACUUCAGGAAACUGGGGCUAAUACCGGAUAGGAGCUCCUGCUGCAUGGUGGGGGUUGGAAAGUUUCGGCGGUUGGGGAUGGACUCGCGGCUUAUCAGCUUGUUGGUGGGGUAGUGGCUUACCAAGGCUUUGACGGGUAGCCGGCCUGAGAGGGUGACCGGCCACAUUGGGCCUGGGGUACGGCCCAGACUCCUACGGGAGGCAGCAGUGGGGAAUAUUGCACAAUGGGCGGAAGCCUGAUGCAGCAACGCCGCGUGCGGGAGGACGGCCUUCGGGUUGUAAACCGCUUUCGCCUGUGACGAAGCGUGAGUGACGGUAAUGGGUAAAGAAGCACCGGCUAACUACGU